UACGUAGGGUGCGAGCGUGUCCGGAAUUAUUGGGCGUAAAGAGCUUGUAGGCGGUUUGUCGCGUCUGCUGUGAAAAUCCGGGGCUCAACCCCGGACUUGCAGUGGAUACGGGCAGACUAGAGUGUGGUAGGGGAGACUGGAAUUCCUGGUGUAGCGGUGAAAUGCGCAGAUAUCAGGAGGAACACCGAUGGCGAAGGCAGGUCUCUGGGCCACUACUGACGCUGGAGAAGCGGAAAGCAUGGGGAGCGAACAGG
rnacentral:rRNA from 1 species